UGUUCCUGUCGCGACUGGCGCCGGGUGGAUCACCACCGGGGAGCGGCACGAACACGACUCCGGGGUCGCCCGCCUGGGCCACGGAU
rfam:Actinomyces sp. oral taxon 175 str. F0384 Contig96, whole genome shotgun sequence.